AACGAACGCUGGCGGCGUGCCUAACACAUGCAAGUCGAACGAGAAAGGGGCUUCGGCUCCGAGUAAAGUGGCGCACGGGUGAGUAACACGUAGGUAACCUGCCUCUAAGAUUGGGAUAACCUGUCGAAAGACGAGCUAAUACCGAAUAGGACCACGGCUUCCUCGGAAGCAGGGGUCAAAGGUAGCCUCUACUUGUAAGCUAUCACUUAGAGAUGGGCCUGCGUACCAUUAGCUAGUUGGUGGGGAACGCCUACCAAGGCAAGAUGGUUAAGCUGGUCUGAGAGGAUGAUCAGCCACACUGGAACUGAGACACGGUCCAGACUCCUACCGGGAGGCAGCAGUGGGGAAUAUUGCGCAAUGGGCGAAAGCCUGACGCAGCAACGCCGCGUGAGUGAUGAAGGCCUUCGGUCGUAAGACUCUGUCGAGGGAAC
rnacentral:rRNA from 1 species